UCCGCCCACUCCGCGCCGGGAACCCACGCGGGCCACUACAAGCCCACCCUUUCCUACGUCUUGUCCAGUCGGUCGUCCUCCGGUCCGGGCCCUGGCCUAGCUAGCCGGCCAUGGAGGGUAAUGGCCCUGCUGCUGUCCACUACCAGCCGGCCAGCCCCCCGCGGGACGCCUGCGUCUACAGCAGCUGCUACUGUGAAGAAAAUAUUUGGAAGCUCUGUGAAUACAUCAAAAACCAUGGCCAGUAUCCUUUAGAAGAAUGUUAUGCUGUCUUCAUAUCAAAUGAGAGGAAGAUGAUACCUAUCUGGAAACAACAGGCGAGACCUGGAGAUGGACCUGUGAUCUGGGAUUACCAUGUUGUUUUGCUUCAUGUUUCAAGUGGAGGACAGAGCUUCAUUUAUGAUCUUGAUACUGUCUUGCCAUUUCCCUGCCUCUUUGACACUUAUGUAGAAGAUGCCUUUAAGUCUGAUGAUGACAUUCACCCACAGUUUAGGAGGAAAUUUAGAGUGAUCCGUGCAGAUUCAUAUUUGAAGAACUUUGCUUCUGACCGAUCUCACAUGAAAGACUCCAGUGGGAAUUGGAGAGAGCCUCCGCCGCCGUAUCCCUGCAUUGAGACUGGAGAUUCCAAAAUGAACCUGAACGAUUUCAUCAGUAUGGAUCCCAAGGUAGGAUGGGGUGCUGUCUACACACUAUCCGAAUUUACACAUCGGUUUGGCAGUAAAAACUGCUGAACUUGGCCUCAAGAUGUGGAACUGCGGAGAAAUUCUAGGACAUGAACAAGCAAGCUAUCCUUUCAUCGAGGACAGCAAACAUUAUGUUCGUGCAACACAAGAGCCCUGGUGCUCCUCCACCUAUCAGAGCCAUCUUCACAGCAGAGACCAAGUCCUCACCAGACAACAUAAUCUGCUCAGCCCUGAUCUUGGACUUACAGCCUCCGCAAUAGACUCUGCUCCAACUAUCAACUUAGGAAGUUAAGGAAAAACAUGGUUUUCUUUUUCCAACUAGAAGCUGGACAUCCUAAGUGAUUGGUUGAAGGAGCAUGUUUGGUUUUCUCUGUCUGGUUCCAAGUUGAAAAUGAAAUGGUGAUGACUGGAGUGACCUCGGAAGCUACUUAUCAAAGGCAGAAGAGCCACCAUCAGCCUGGAUUCCUGAUGACUCUAUGGAGCCGAGUUGCAUGCCUGCCUAAGUAGUAUAUUGUGGAACUCUUUCAUAGGAGACAAAUUUAUGUGUUUUUUAAGUCACAGAAUUCUUGGUGAGUUUUGAUUUGGCUGUUUAGUCCUCCCUAAAUAAUUCAGUGCCCAUUCAAGCAUGUAACAGGAUAUUUUUAGCUGGGUCAGAAAUAAGAAUUUGUGGUGUUCCAGGCCGGGUACGGUGGCUCAUGCCUGUAAUCCCAGCACUCUGGAAGGCCAAGGCGGGCGGAUCCCUUGAGGUCAGGAGUUCGAGACCAGCCUGGCCAACAUGGUGAAACUCCAUCUCUCCCCAAAAUACAAAAAUUAGCCAGGUAUGUAUGCCUGUAAUUCCAGUUACUCGGGAGGCUUGAGUGUCACCUGAAAUAUUGCCUGAACCCAGGAGGUGGAGGUUGCAGUGAGCCGAGAUUGCACCACUGCACUCCAGCCUGGGCAACAAGAGUGAGACUGUCUGAAAAAAAAAAAGAAAAAAAAAAGAAUUUGUGGUGUAAGCCUCUGUGUACUUGUGCAGACUGCCCCUUUAGUGUCUCACAGUUUUUGUGGAAUUAUUGCCCCUCCUGGAAUGUUCACAAACCCUGAACACAAAUGUCUAUCCAGUCCUGUUGUUUUGUAUGAGGUUCAGGAGCCUUGUGAGAAAGAAGCCAAAUGGUCUGUGUUCUCAUUUAGGGUUCAGACGUGUAUAGGCUUGUCCCGUGGGCUAGAGGUCCUCAAAGAUGUCUUUGCUAGAGGAGAGAAAAACAUGAACAGGUCCCUGAGAGAAAAUCAACGUAAGUGAAGAUGACAUCUGGCUGAGAGGACCAGACUAGAUGAUUAUACAUUAGAGCGUUCCUUGAUGGCAGAUGCCAUGAGAGAUGUGCCACGGUGUACCCUUACCCCUACUCUCUUACUCUCUUGAAAGCCCUGUCUCCUGGGAAGAAACGAAAGAACUGUGUCACUAGGGGCCCCAUGUGGCUCUGUGGGAACCUUGGAAAUAGCUGCUGAUUUUCUGUAGAACAGUGGACAGCAGUGUUCUGACUGAGUCUGGUAUUUUGGUGGUUGACAGCAGUACACGCCAUGCCCAGUGGCUGGCUCAGCAGUGAAGCAGAAGCAUGAGGAAGGCUGCAGGCUGUGGUUUGGAUUCUCUGUGAAUCCCCUUUUCAUCAGGAUUUGAAAGAGAAAAUGACUUACACAGGACUCUCAGACUGGUAGGGGCUUGUGUACAUUCAGCAUAUAGCAAUUAACACCUUGAUGAUUUGCAGAAAUUCUUCAUGGAGGAUGCUUAUUUAAAAGAGCUGGAGGGCUGGGUGUGGUGGCUCAUGCCUACAAUCCCAGCACUUUGGGAGGCUGAAGCGGGCAGAUCACUUGAGGCCAGGAGUUCAAGACCUCUACUGUUGCUGUAUCACUGCCCUGGUGAUUCAGCAGUGAAUCCUGCGCUCAUGGAUGUUACAUUCUUGUGCAGAAGACAGACAGUGAACUUCUACAAUGUGUGGAAGAUUGGUUGCUAUUUACUGAGUUGCGGAAGAUUGUGGGUGGAGUAAUUUUGGGGAGGAAGAGCAGGAGUUUUAUUGGGGGCAUGUUAAAUUUGAGGUGCCAGUUGGGUGUCUAAGAGGAGCUGUCAAAUAGGAGUUGGUAGCCGGGUGUGGUAGGCGGAGGUUGUAGUGAGCCUGAGAUCACGCCACUGCACUCCAGCCUGGGCGACAGAGUGAGACUCCGGCUCGCUUUCUUUCUGUCUCUCUCUCUCUCUCUCUCUGUCUCUCUCUCUCUCUCUCUCUCUCUCUAUAUAUAUAUAUAUAUAUAUAUAUAUAUAUAUGAGCUGGAUAAAGGGGUCCCAGAGUCAGUGGAGUGGUGUAGGAUGGGAAUAUCAAAUUGGGAGACAUCCGUUAAUAGAUGACAUUUAAAGGUACAGGCCUCUAUAGUAUCAUUGAGAGAAUGUGUGUGGUUAGAGGAACGGUCCAGGGAUCUAGCCUAGGGAGCUUUUAUUUAGGGCUCAGGAGACAGGAAGGCAGAUGGAAUGGUCAUGGAGGAAGGAGGAGAAAACAAGGAUGCCCAAAGGAGAAAGUGGUAUUAGAAGGGGAGAGGGAUCAGCUCUGUCAGAUGUUGCUGAUCAGUUGAGUAAGUUGAGGACUGGGAUGACCAUUGGUUUUGGCAGUGUGGAGGUCUUUGAGCAAUUUCAGUGGAGUGAUGGGGAUGACAGCCUAAUUUCAGUAGG